rnacentral:tRNA from 1 species
UGGCUCAGUGGAUAGAGCGUCAGCCUGCAAACUGAAGGGUACCGGGUUCAAUUCCGGU